rnacentral:tmRNA from 1 species
GGGGCUGAUCGGUUUCGACGGUGACCUGUUCGUCGCAGGGAAGCGUGCCGAGAACGCAGGGUCCGCUCGUGGAUGACCCCUGCACACCAAUAAGUGCCAAAUCCAAUCGCACUGAGUUCGCUCUCGCUGCCUGAUGCUUCGCGCUCGGGAUUAACCAGCGAGCAGCCGCUCCGUCCGCUUGACCUCGUCCUGGGGUGAAGAUCGGGCGUCGUUUUCAGGACUUGCUUGCGUAGCCGCGCCACAGGGCUGCGCCGGGACUUUUACUGUGGUCGUGCCCGCCGGCGGUUGUCUGCGACAGACCCGGGGGCAGGGAAAUAGCCGCAAGGCCAGCAGACUACGCACGUAGAAGACUGAGGGUACGGUCACCGGACCGGGGUUCAAUUCCCCGCAGCUCCACGG